UACGGAGGGUGCAAGCGUUGUUCGGAUUUAUUGGGCGUAAAGGGCGCGUAGGCGGUCUCGUAAGUCUGAUGUGAAAGCCCCGGGCUCAACCCGGGAAGUGCAUUGGAAACUGUGAGACUUGAGUACGGGAGAGGGCAGUGGAAUUCCUAGUGUAGGAGUGAAAUCCGUAGAUAUUAGGAGGAACACCGGUGGCGAAGGCGGCUGCCUGGACCGAUACUGACGCUGAGACGCGAAAGCGUGGGGAGCAAACAGG
rnacentral:rRNA from 1 species